rnacentral:lncRNA from 1 species
AGACUUGCUUCUGAGCACCGCGCGGCUUCUGUCGCUUCCGAGCAACCGGAGAGAAAGUACGCGUGACGAGAGUUCUACGAAUUUACUAGUGCAAUAUAUAAUUCGACAAGCUUAAAGUGAUUUUUUGUUUUAAAAUUGCUUCAAAAAUUGUAAAAAAAAUAUCUAGGUAUUGUGGAUCGCAGAAAAUGCUAUCUCAGUUUCUGUGACUGUUUGUGUGAUUGUUUAAAUAGUGUAAGACGUCGGCAAAUUUAAAUAAAGUUCCUAAAGUGACGAAAAAAAGCCUUUAUUUCGCAUGAAGAAUGUCUCUACGAGGUGUUUGAAAAGUUCUUGGGAUGAAAUUCACCCAGAGUGACCGACUAGGAUUAACACAGCCUGCAAACAUCGAAGGUUGGCGCAUUGUGACAAACUUCCCACAGGCUCAUGAACUCUUCAAACCACAACUGAUGCCCUAUCGAGUGAUACUUUGGCGGUAA